ACUAAAGUGCCUGAUCAAAAGGAUUAUAAUGAUAUUAUACUUAUGUAAAUAAUUUUACCUUUAGUU
rnacentral:tRNA from 1 species